UCCCACAGCUUUUCAAAUGUCUGUGAGUGUAAGUCAAGUUCUUCGUAUUAACGGAUUCUGUCCAUAAAUCUUUCCGCAGACUCUCUAGCUGUGUUGUUGGCUGUCAGCGUACUGCUCGUCAAAGGAAUUCAGUCCAAAUCGUGUUGCGGAGGACUGAUCUGGACUGUAGGAGAUACCCUCAACGAUUUGAACGUCUCCUAAUGAGACAUUUUUAGUAUCCUAGGUGUGCUCAUAAUUGAAUGUUUACAAAUAAUAAUUUUUUUUCGGCUUACAUUAUUAAUUCAACUUGGUGAUCUUGAUUAGUGCAUGAUGCUAAUGAUGCCAGUUAUUAUGAAUGUGAUAUCAAUAAUGACAAUGAAAAGCAACAGUAUCAUUAUUUAUCAUAAUGCUGAUUUUAUAGGAUCUAUGUCUGUAUCAUCACUAUUGCUUUAUUAUUACGAUCUUGAUUA